rnacentral:rRNA from 1 species
UACGUAGGGUGCGAGCGUUAAUCGGAAUUACUGGGCGUAAAGGGUGCGCAGGCGGCUUCGCAAGUCGAGUGUGAAAUCCCCGAGCUUAACUUGGGAAUUGCGCUCGAAACUACGGAGCUGGAGUGUGGCAGAGGAAGGUGGAAUUCCACGUGUAGCGGUGAAAUGCGUAGAGAUGUGGAGGAACACCGAUGGCGAAGGCAGCCUUCUGGGCCAACACUGACGCUCAUGCACGAAAGCGUGGGGAGCAAACAGG